rnacentral:rRNA from 1 species
AUUGAACGCUGGCGGCAGGCUUUACACAUGCAAGUCGAACGGCAGCGCGGGCUUCGGCCUGGCGGCGAGUGGCGAACGGGUGAGUAAUGCAUCGGAACGUGCCCGGUAGUGGGGGAUAGCGCGGGGAAAGCCGGAUUAAUACCGCAUACGACCUGAGGGUGAAAGCGGGGGACCGAAAGGCCUCGCGCUAUUGGAUCGGCCGAUGUCGGAUUAGCUAGUUGGUGGGGUAAAGGCUUACCAAGGCGACGAUCCGUAGCUGGUCUGAGAGGAUGACCAGCCACACUGGGACUGAGACACGGCCCAGACUCCUACGGGAGGCAGCAGUGGGGAAUUUUGGACAAUGGGGGCAACCCUGAUCCAGCCAUGCCGCGUGCGGGAAGAAGGCCUUCGGGUUGUAAACCGCUUUUGUUCGGGAAGAAAUCCUCUGGGCUAAUACCCCGGGGGGAUGACGGUACCGGAAGAAUAAGCACCGGCUAACUACGUG